rnacentral:rRNA from 1 species
AUACGGAGGGUGCAAGCGUUACUCGGAAUCACUGGGCGUAAAGGACGCGUAGGCGGGUUUGUAAGUCAGGUGUGAAAUCCUACAGCUCAACUGUAGAACUGCACUUGAAACUACAGACCUAGAGUAUGGAAGGGGCAGAUGGAAUUAGUGGUGUAGGGGUAAAAUCCGUAGAUAUCACUAGGAAUACCGAAAGCGAAGGCGAUCUGCUGGGACAUUACUGACGCUGAGGCGUGAAAGCGUGGGGAGCAAACAGGAUUAGAUACCCUAGUAGUCC